rnacentral:rRNA from 1 species
AUGUCUGUGUGUGAUGUGUUGUGCUUGGUGUGCAGUAGUACCAGGGCUCCUAUCGCUGCCAGUACCCCGACAGUGAGGGCCAUGGCGCUGGUCGACCUGCUGUUCUCAAUCUUUCAGAACUCCAGCUUCGUCGCUUGGUGCUUCUCGGUGGGUUGCUCGUCGGGGUACUCCACCUCGACUUCAUGGUGGAGUAGUACCAUAUCCUGA